AUAUCCGGCUAAAUCCCGAAGAUAAUUGGGUUUGGGAAUGAGCGAUCUUGCUGUAAUAAUUUCAAUUAAUACGCUCGUAAAAUCCCAACGAUGAGAUUUUGGUUCGUCAGCUAUCGGACUCGGGAUUGUUGACGUCGAAGUCGUCCACACUAUCAAAGCCCCUUUUGGUACACUUUUGGUUGAACUUUGAAAUGGCAUGUAUAGGACACCCCUUUUUGUUGUUGGUCAUGUACCCUUUGGUUUUGUAUAAAUUUGGAUAGCCAUGCGAAAAUGACUUAUAUACACUUUGAGCAUAGUAUUAUAAUCGUUUUGUAUGUUAUUCAUUAAGAGGUAUGGAAAUGUUUGGAAACAA